rnacentral:rRNA from 1 species
UGCUAUACUGCAGUCGACGCUUUUUCUUUCCCGGAGCUUGCUCCCUCGAAAGAGAAAGAGUGGCGGACGGGUGAGUAACACGUGGGUAACCUGCCCAUCAGAGGGGGAUAACACUUGGAAACAGGUGCUAAUACCGCAUAAUUCCUUUGACCGCCUGGUCGCCGGAUAAAAGACGCUUCGGUGUCACUGGUGGAUGGACCCCCGCUGCAUUAUUUAUUUGGGGGGGUAACGGCCUACCAAGACCGUGAUGCAUAUCCGACCUGAGAGGGGGAUCGGCCACACUGGGACUGAGACACGGCCCACACUCCUACGGGAGGCAGCAGUAGGGAAUCUUCUGCAAUGGACGGAAGUCUGACCGAGCAACGCCCCGUGAGUGAAAAAAGUUUUCGGAUCGUAAAACUCUGUUGUUAGAGAAAAACAAGUGGGAGAGUAACUGUUCUCACCUUGACGGUAUCUAACCAGAAAGCCACGGCUAACUACGUGCCACCAGCCGCGGUAAUACGUAGGUGGCAAGCGUUGUCCGGAUUUAUUGGGCGUAAAGCGAGCGCAGGCGGUUUCUUAAGUCUGAUGUGAAAGCCCCCGGCUUAACCGGGGAGGGUCAUUGUAAACUGGGAGACUUGAGUGC